CUCAAUCGCUGAGUCCUUAAUUGGAGCGGAGGAACCACUUUUGUAGAGACUAAUCUACUUGGGGUGAAUCCUUUAAAGAAAAAAGGAAGGGUUAUUCUUGACCCUAAUCCGACAGCUAACUUCGUAAGCGUUAAGAAAGGA
rnacentral:sRNA from 1 species